rnacentral:rRNA from 1 species
CCUACGGGAGGCAGCAGUGAGGAAUAUUGGACAAUGGGCGCAAGCCUGAUCCAGCCAUGCCGCGUGCAGGAAGAAGCAUCUAUGGUGUGUAAACUGCUUUUGUACAGGAAGAAACACUCCCUCGUGAGGGAGCUUGACGGUACUGUAAGAAUAAGGACCGGCUAACUCCGUGCCAGCAGCCGCGGUAAUACGGAGGGUCCGAGCGUUAUCCGGAAUCAUUGGGUUUAAAGGGUCCGUAGGCGGUUUAAUAAGUCAGUGGUGAAAUCUGGUCGCUCAACGAUCAAACGGCCAUUGAUACUGUUAGACUUGAAUUAUAAGGAAGUAACUAGAAUAUGUAGUGUAGCGGUGAAAUGCUUAGAUAUUACAUGGAAUACCAAUUGCGAAGGCAGGUUACUACUUAUGGAUUGACGCUGAUGGACGAAAGCGUGGGGAGCGAACAGGAUUAGAUACCCUGGUAGUCCACGCCGUAAACGAUGGAUACUAGCUGUUCGGAGCAAUCUGAGUGGCUAAGCGAAAGUGAUAAGUAUCCCACCUGGGGAGUACGUUCGCAAGAAUGAAACUCAAAGGAAUUGACGGCUGAGACGAGACGACGACGACGACGAGGGAGGAGG